GACGGAGGAGGCAAGCGUUAUCCGGAAUUAUUGGGCGUAAAGGGUACGUAGGCGGCUGGUCAAGUCUGGGGUCAAAGGCCACAGCUCAACUGUGGGAAGGCCCUGGAAACUGACCGGCUAGAGUGAGGUAGGGGUUGCGGGAAUUCCAGGUGUAGCGGUGAAAUGCGUAGAGAUCGGGAAGAACACCUGAGGCGGAAGCGCGCAACUGGGCCUCAACUGACGCUGAGGUAAGAAAGCUAGGGGAGUGAAUGGG
rnacentral:rRNA from 1 species